AUCCUGGCUCAGGAUGAACGCUAGCUACAGGCUUAACACAUGCAGGUCGAGGGGAAACGACAUCGAAAGCUUGCUUUUGAUGGGCGUCGACCGGCGCACGGGUGAGUAACGCGUAUCCAACCUGCCCAUCACUUGGGAAUAACCUUGCGAAAGUAAGACUAAUGCCCAAUGAUAUCCCACGAAGGCAUCCGAAUGGGAUUAAAGAUUUAUCGGUGAUGGAUGGGGAUNCGUCUGAUUAG
rnacentral:rRNA from 1 species